AAUAAUUAUGAUAAAUUUGUCAUUUUGUGAUAAUGAUAAUUAAAAAGCAAAGUAUCUUGCAAUCCACCAGCCACAAAAUAAGAUCAAAACGACAAAUUUGCCGCGCUUGGCUCGCUGCAUUAGGUUCUAUAAAAUUCUCCAGUGGCAGCACCGAUCGCCUCACUAGGAGCAAAAAAACAACAAAAAUAAUGAAAUUUUUAAUGAGUUAUGAGAGAGAGAGCCAGAGCUUGCACUUAUUCACUACUUGGUCUUUGUCGCGCUGUGCCGAUAACUCGAAUAUUUUCGACGGAAAAGCUGGUCUCAAAAUGUAAAAGCAUCGGAUUUCGAGACGAUUUCAGCGGGAGGUUCUCAUCCCUCGGGUGUAACGGACGACAUCGGACACAACAACACGUCAUCCACGCGAGGCAGCAAGUGCGCUCUCGCCGGUCACCACAACAUCGCCCCGUUAGUAUUUCGGAACGAUUUCCCGAGGAAAAUAUCAAGAAUAACUUCCUGCUUAUCUACAAGCCGAUCGAUGAUUACUGACUUUUGGUUGCCCACAAAACCAUUGACAGAACACCGACACUGGUGUGCCGAAGAACUUCAUCACCCAGCAGGGCAAACAGUUGCAGAGGAAGGAGGCGAUCAGCAAGCUUAGAUAACCGCGCAGGCCAAAUCAGUACCGUUGGCGACGAGAGGGAAUUUAGUACAGGCGCAACGAACGCUUCUUGGACGUCCCUGAGCAUGUCAAUCGUCAAUCUGCUUUUAUGUCUCCGCAAGACCAAGUCUUGUCUGCCCACGUUGCGGAAAAAGUUGUCAUGCGAUCUGUCUGGCAUGCCCGAGUGCAAGUUCGGAAUCAACUCGACAAAAUUGUAAUGGAGGCUAAAGGCGAGGGAAGUGACAACCUGCAAGGAUUCGGCCAGGUCUGGAAAACUAGUGGUUGUGUUUGAUGACUGUCAGUUCCAUCAGUGCGUCAAAGUUUCCAAGUGUGAAACCGAGCACUCCAUCAACUUCAUUCCGCCUGAAGGUGAACUUGAGCUCAUGAGGUAAAUUUUCUUGUUUAGGAAGCGGAUCAUUAGAAGAUGUUAUGUAAUUCAGUGAAAAAAAAAAAUAGAUUAAAAUAUUAUUGUGUAUUUUUCAUAAAAAAAAAAAAA